rnacentral:rRNA from 1 species
CAGCCGCCACGGUAAAACGAAGGGUGUAAGCGCUACUCGGAAUUACUGGGCGUAAAGCGUGCGUAGGUGGUGGUUUAAGUCCGUUGUGAAAGCCCUGGGCUCAACCUGGGAAUUGCAGUGGAUACUGGAUCACUAGAGUGUGGUAGAGGAUAGUGGAAUUUCCGGUGUACCAGUGAAAUGCGUAGAGAUCGGAAGGAACAUCUGUGGCGAAGGCGGCCAUCUGGGACAACACUGACGCUGAGGCACGAAAGCGUGGGGAGCAAACAGGAUUAGAUACCCCGGUAGUCCCUGUCUCUUAUAA